rnacentral:rRNA from 1 species
AUUAAGCCAUGCAUGUCCAAGACUAAACAAGUUGUCAGUGAAUCUGCGUAUGGCUCAUUACAAGAAUCAUCAUUUACCCGAGCACCAACUUACAAUUGGAUAACCGUUGUAAUUCAAGGGCUAAUCAUGCACCCAAGGUAUGCGCGUUUACGUGCAUACUGCAUUUGUUAGACCAAAAUCAACCGGGGCAACCCGUUUCAGGUGAUUCAUGACAAAUUGCGGAUCCUGGAUGACUCCAGGACGACUCGGUCAAGUCUUUCCCCUAUCAGGUUUCGAAGGCAGUGUAUUGAACUGUCUUGCCGUUGACGGGUAACGGAGAAUUAGGGUUCGAUUCCGGAGAGGGAGCCUGAGAGACGGCUACUACAUCUAAGGAAGGCAGCAGGCGCGCAAAUUUCCCAAUGCUCAUCGAGCGAGGAAGUGACGAUCAAUAACAAUGCGCGACGUUUACGUUGUGCAAUUGGAAUGACUACAAUUUAAACUAUUUAAGGAGGAUCAAUUGGAGGGCAAGUCUGGUGCCAGCAGCCGCGGUAAUUCCAGCUCCAAUAGGAUAUAUCAAAGUUGUUGCAGUUAAAAAGCUCGUAGUUGAAUUUCUGCUGGGAUUUUGUGCGAGUUCUUUUGGGGGCAUCCCCGAAGGAAGAUUGCCACCCGGCAUUUUGUGGAAAUCGGUUUGUGCGUGGUUGACUCCACGUAUGAAUCCCACUCCGUUACUGAGAGCAAAGUGGAGUGCUCAAAGCAGGCCUUACGGCUUUGAACAUUUUAGCUUGGAAUAACAAAAAAGGACCUAGUUCUAUUUUGUUGGUUCACAGAAUCAGGUAAUGAUUAACAGGAACAGUUGCGGGGGUACUCGUAUUUCACAGUCAGAGGUGAAAUUCUUGGAUUUGUGAAAGACGAACGACUGCGAAAGCAUUUACCAAGGAUGUUUUCAUUAAUCAAGAACGAAAGUUUGGGGAUCGAAGAUGAUUAGAUACCAUCGUAGUCCAAACCAUAAACGAUGCCGACUCGGGAUUGGCGCUCGAUUUACAUAUCUGCGUCAGCACCGUAUGAGAAAUCAAAGUCUUUGGGUUCCGGGGGGAGUAUGGUCGCAAGGCUGAAACUUAAAGGAAUUGACGGAAGGGCACACCAGAUGUGGAGCCUGCGGUUUAAUUUGACUCAACACGGGGAAACUUACCAGGUCCAGACAUGAUGAGGAUUGACAGUUUGAAAGCACUUUCUUGAUUUCAUGGGUGGUGGUGCAUGGCCGUUCUUAGUUGGUGGAGUGAUUUGUCUGGUUGAUUCCGAUAACGAACGAGACGGGAGGGUUUAACUGGUUGUGUUGGUAAUUCGCGUUACCAACGGCCUCUUAUACCGACAACUCGGUUUUACCGAGAGGAAGCGUCCCGCAAUAACAGGUCUGUGAUGCCCUUAGAUGUUCUGGGCUACACGCGCGCUACAAUGACGAAUUCAACGAGUUUCUUCCUUGCCCGAGAGGGUGUGGGUAGUCUUUUCAAUGUUCGUCGUGAUGGGGCUAGAUUUUUGCAAUUAUUAAUCUUCAACGAGGAAUAUCUAGUAUGUGCAAGUCAUCAGCUUGCGCAGAAUGCGUCCCUGCCCUUUGUACACACCGCCCGUCGCACCUACCGAUUGGACGAUCCGGCAAGAUGUUUGGAGUCGGUUUUCUUGGGGGUAACCUGAGAAAGUGACAAAGUUCUCAAACCU